UUACGGCUAUAUCACGUUGAGAGAGACACAGGUUCCUGUAGAAUCACCGAAGUUAAGCAACGUCGAGCCUGGUCAGUACCGAGAUAUGAGACCGCUUGGGAAUACCAGAUGACGUU